GUGGGGAAUCUUAGACAAUGGGCGCAAGCCUGAUCUAGCCAUGCCGCGUGAGCGAUGAAGGCCUUAGGGUUGUAAAGCUCUUUCAGCUGGGAAGAUAAUGACGGUACCAGCAGAAGAAGCCCCGGCUAACUCCGUGCCAGCAGCCGCGGUAAUACGGAGGGGGCUAGCGUUGUUCGGAAUUACUGGGCGUAAAGCGCACGUAGGCGGAUCAGAAAGUCAGAGGUGACAUCCCAGGGCUCAACCUUGGAACUGCCUUUGAAACUCCUGAUCUUGAGGUCGAGAGAGGUGAGUGGAAUUCAGAGUGUAGAGGUGAAAUUCGUAGAUAUUCGGAGGAACACCAGUGGCGAAGGCGGCUCACUGGCUCGAUACUGACGCUGAGGUGCGAAAGCGUGGGGAGCAAACAGGAUUAGAAACCCUGGUAGUCC
rnacentral:rRNA from 1 species